GGAGGGUGCAAGCAUUAAUCGGAUUUAUUGGGCGUAAAGGGCGCGUAGGCGGAAAAGCAAGUCAUGAUUGAAAUUCCAAGGCUCAACCUUGGAACUGGUCAUGAAACUGCUUAUCUAGAGGAAAGGCGGAGAAAAUGGAAUUCCACGUGUAGCGGUGAAAUGCGUAGAUAUGUGGAAGAACACCGGUGGCGAAAGCGGUUUUUCUAGCUUUUAACUGACGCUGAGGCGCGAAAGCGAGGGUAGCAAACAGGGAUUAGAUACCCUGGUAGUCCUCGCCGUAAACGAUGCAUACUUGAUGUAGGCAGGCUCAACCCCCCCUGGCUGUGUCGAAGCUAACGCGAUAAGUAUGCCCGCCUGGGAAGUACGCUCGCAAGGGUG
rnacentral:rRNA from 1 species